CGGUUACCACGGAGUGAUUCAUGACUGGGGUGAAGUCGUAACAAGGUAGCCCUAGGGGAACCUGGGGCUGGAUCACCUCCUUA
rnacentral:ncRNA from 1 species